CGAUGUUUUUAUUGGGAGUGGGAGAGGAUUUGGGAACGGAUGAGGGUAUUUUGUUAAUGGUUAAGGUAGUGGUAGUAGGUUCUACAGAGUUGAGUUCGAUCGUGGCUCGCAGGAAGGAUCGAGGAUUUGAAGUCGUAGGUUUUUCGUUUUUUGGUAUCGCGAUUUGGAGGAUGGUGGAAUUUGUUGAAACGAUAUAGUAUAAUUAUUAUAUGGGUUAGGUGUGAAGCUUCUAUUUUAUUUAGGCAGAGAAGGUACUUGAGCAUCUAGGUAGAGGAUUUUUGGCACUGGUAGCAAAUAUUUGAAACGACAUCUAGGCUAUACUGUAGCUGUAUCUUUAUCGUUGAUUAAAUUAAUAUUAAAUGUGACGAACCAAAUUUGGGGAAAAAAGUACAGUAGAAAAUUGUAACAGAGUUAUAAUAUGAAUUAAGUAUUAGGCUUCUAUUCUAUAUAUUUAGGUAGACGAUUUUUGACAUUAAUAUCAAAUAUUGAAGCGACGUGUAGGUUAUAUUAUAGGUAUAUCUCUAUCAUGGAUUUAAUUAAUAUUAAAUGUGAAAAAGUAAAUUUGGGGAAAGACACACUAGAAAAUUGUUACAGAAUUAUAAUAUGGAUUAGGUAUCAAGUUUCUGUUCUACUUAUUUAGGUAGAGGAUUUUUAUCAUUGGUAGCAAAUAUUUGAAACGACAUCUAGACUAUACUGUAGCUAUAUCUUUAUCGCGAAUCAAAUUAAUGUUAAACGUGACAAACUAAAUUUGAGGAAAAAAGUACAGUAGAAAAUUGUAACAGAAUUAUAAUAUGAAUUAGGUAUUAAGUUUCUACCCUAUAUAUUUAGGUAGAGGAUUUUUGACAUUAAUAUCAAAUAUUGCAAUGACGUGUAGAGUGUAUUGUAGCUAUAUCUUUAUCGUGGAUUAAAUUAAUACUAAAUGCGAGGACGAAUUAGAUUUUGAAAAAUGGCAUAGUAGAAAAGCACAGUAGAAUUACAAUGUAGAUUAUGUAUCAAGUUUCUGUUCUACUUAUUUAGGUAUUUUUUAUAUAUCUUAGAAGAUUUUUGACACUGAAAUUAAAUAUUGCAGUGACGUGUAGGGCAUAUUAUAGCUAUAUCUUUAUCAUGGAUUAAUUUGGGGGAAAAUACAGUAAAAAAGUCUAACAGAAUUAUAAUAUGAAGUAGGUAUUAGACUCCUAUUCUAUAUACUUGAGUAGACGAUUUUUGACGUUAAUAUCAAAUAUUGCAUUGACGUGUAGAGUGUAUUGUGGCUAUAUCUUUAUCAUGGAUUAAAUUAAUGCUAAAUGCGAGAACAAAUUAGAUUUGGGAAAUGGGGGGUAAAUGGGGGUUCGAACGCGAUCUAUCGGAUUAGAGAUGUGAUGCAGAGAUAGGAUUGUUGGAAUACAGUUUUAUUGGUUUCUGGUAAUAGGUAUAUUCAGAUUAGGAAGGUGCUACAGUUGAUUCAAAGGUUGAUACAUGUAGAAUUGUAAUACAUAUUAAGUAAAUAGGGUUGGAUAUUAACCGUACAUUUAGGUAUAAGAUUUUGGCGUAUAAGAUUUUUGGAAUUAUUCAAAUAACGGUGGAAUAUGGAGAGUAUAUAGUUAAAGCCUGUGGAUCACAAGGAAGUAAUUUUCAUGGAGAAUUGAAUUUCCUAAUUAUCGGCAGCAACGUUUCCGAAUCGAGGGAUUAAGGAGUAAAAUCCUAGCAUAAUCUCCAUGAAUACGAGAAAUAAUUUCGAUAAUGCUCUCCGGUAUUACUUCAUUUAAAUUAACAAAGUAUCGCAGAAAUAUAAAUUUUUCAGGAUCCAUAAAUUAAAAAAUAAUGAAUCGUCAUGAUGUUGCAAAUAUUUUUCAACAUUUCGUCCGAUAUUUAUUAUCAUCACUUGUAUCGUCCUUUUGCAACGAAUACACUAAACGAAAGUAAUCCUUUGGAAUUCUUUGGAACGUCAGACACUAAUCAUGUACCAAGAUAAUAAAAAUCUAAGGUUUGCAAAAAACGAAGUUGAGACGUGCUGAAAGCGUAACAAAUCGCGAUAAAAAAAAUACUGAAAGAAUUCACAACAGUUCGCGUUUCAUCGAUUUGGAAAAUAUUUUUGAUAGAUGUAAUUCGUGUGACAUUUAUUAGAUUUAGAAAAAGAGAGAAGGUAAAUUUACGAGCGACAAGCCGCCAUGGAAUUUUAGUGGCGCGUUUCCACGGAGGAUUCGUUUCUCACGGUCAGUUUGCCUCGCGUAUUAUGGCUCACAAAUUUUCGUGGCCUCUGAACUGAAAAUUUCGAGCUGAUUGCACCUAUCCCAUCAGAAUAUUAUUUUCAACUUGUUUGGCGCUAAUGUCCCAAGAGACUCAUGAGUGGCUGGCUUUCUAGAUAAACGUAUCGCGAAAUGAAAAUGCCCUAGCUUUAUCUAAUCGACUGAUUUUUGUUACGUCGCGCCGUUGUUACGUUAAUGUUGUGAAACUUACCGGCGCCGAGAUUAUCGUGCUUUUUUCAUUAUAUCGAUCAACAAAUAAGAUACUUCGUUAUCUGUCUUUAUUGCUUUUAUCUCUUGAUUGUUUGAUUAAAUGUUAUUAAUUUCUGGUUCGAAUUAGAAUCGAGGAUACAUUUCAAGAUUACAACCGAAUUUUAAAACAAAAUUCGCCUUGAACUACGAGAAAAGAAGUUUAUUUUAUUAAUUCUGUUUAUGAAUAACAGAUUUGCUUUAUGUUUUUGUGAUAUAAGUUCUUACGAAAACAGAUAUGUUUAUCGCGUUUAGUUGAUUAAUACUUUUUUUAAAAUACCAAUUCAUUUCAGUACGUUUAAUUUCUAUAAUUAUAUUAAACUGAACUUUUAUUAUAUGAAAUUGAAUUUUACUAAACUGAAAUUUUAUUGAAUAAAAAUUGAUCGUCAUUGCUCAGUUACACGGUCGUAACUAUUCCUCAAUUAGCUUGUUACUCGAUUCAGCUAAGAAUUGCGCGAUUUCGAUCGCCCAAAAUUAUUGACCUUACACAUUUGCAUUUUCUGCAUCCUCUGUUACAAAUAUAAUUCAGCCGCUUGGGAACGAUAACAAGUUGGAAAUGCCUCGUGAGAAAUUGUCAAACGUAAUUCUAGACACUAAUUCCGGCUAAUAACUCUGCCAAAAAGUGUAUAAACAGAUCUUACGUUAAAUGGCAAGUAAAAAAUACACUGUCACUUCUGGCUUUGCAUCAAAAAUCCAAGCGGAAGCGUAAUAAAAGUUGACGCGGCUUUAUCAAGAAUCGAUGAGUUUGCAUUUUUGGGGAAAUGCAACCUUCGUCGACAAAUUCCUACGUUGAUUUACUAGUUAACUAGAAAUUCAACUGAAAAUCGCUUCCUUGCGUUAUUAAAUAUCCUUCAAAAAUAGUCGAUCGCAGCAAUAGCUUACGAUCAGGUGAAGAUUUUCCACCCAAACCAGAAAAACGAAUUUCAAUGUUCUUUCUAUUUUGUUUUUAUACUAAAAAUAUACUAAAUUGUUCCUAUACUACUAUCACCGAUAAAAAUAAAACUUGGAAAGAAAUGUAUGUCACAAAUAAAACACGCGUUUCAUGACGUUCUCUUCUCGGAACAAAAUUCGCAAUUUCAAACAGACUCGUUGCAAAGCUGCGUAUCGUGAGAAUCUUUCCAAGUGCGAGGUAUUAAAAUCAAAUGCAAGAAAAUUUUCAAAUAAUUCCACGAAUCUUAUCAUUUUUUUUAAUUCCACUAUGGAACUGUAUAUAAUAAAAACAGUCGACAAGCAAAAGGUUAAAACGUAAGGUCGAGAAAAAUCAUUGUAAUUCCCACAACUAUCCACCUUUCUCCAAAUGCCGCUAUAUUUGAAUAUUACUUAAACAUCCACUCGUAUUUAACGAGAAGAUUGCUUCGCCGUACGCGAUUAAUAUGAAACACUGAGAACGAAAAGUGGAAGGAAAACUGGCGUUGAAAACGCGGCAAAAAAAGGUGUGGUGUGAAUGAAAGCGGCAGGAGGCACAGGCGGCGUGUGUCGCCCACGUGAACCACGAUGCCAAAGUUCCGUUUCGACCAGUCAUUCAGGAACAAUGAACGGCGUCCCGGCGAUUUCUAUCCAGUUAGAACCGGAAAACCGGCGACUGGCGGUCUCAGGCGACGCGAUAGCGUCGGCCAGUUAUUGGAUACUAUCGACAGCCUCUCCUUCCCUCUUUGCUAUUUCAACGCCACGAGGCCGUGCAACUUCUCGAUGACGCGUCUCUGCCAAGUUGAUCGACCUCACCUUGCGCCUUCCUGCAAACCGAAGCACCUGCUUCCGGUACACGCGCUACCAUUACGUUUCGAACUUGAACGCAUCAUUUUAUUCGACGAUUCAUUCGUUACCAAUGCGACGCAAUCCGCACUGAAUAAUGGCUACCACGUUCCUUCCUCGCAUUCUUGAGAAGUAUCGAGAGCCAUGCUACUCCAAAGCGAUAAAUUAGUCGCUACAAUCGGAUGCCUGAAGCGGAUCGUUCGUUUCUGGACAAUGGCGCGAGGAAAAUGAAUGGCUGACACUGGCGACAAUCGUCGCGUAAAUACUCAUCUAAAUAUUGAAAUGCGAAUACUGAAUACCAUAUCGUAGAAAUAUAUCUUUUAUUCGCCCUGUAAUUCUCAGAUACAGAGAAAUUUAUUUAUCAAUGCUUCUUCAGAAGAUAACUUUUUUUUAAACAAAACAUACGUAACGUUAUGUAAUCAGAAUGAAAACAAUUACACCACAGACGAAUUAAUACAUCCAAUUGAAUAAGACAAAGACAUAGAUCAAUUUUUAGGUGAGGCAUAGAUUGAAGUAUUUGACAAAUGUUUUUUCAUUAUGAGCUGCACAAUUUAAUAGUCUGGCAGAUUAAAUUCUCACACGACUCAGACUUCUCCUACAAAAAGGAUUUCAAUUAUCCAGGCAGAAGUCAGUUUUUGUCCCACUUCUGUCCCUCCUUUUCCACUUAAAACCACCAUUACCAGGCUGCGGAUUUUUAUGCAAAUUCACAUUUUUCAGAGUACAAUUAGAAAGAAGUAGAACCUCGACAGGUUCAACUUGCGAUUGUUCUAGCCAACAAGUAUCAUAGAAAGUACUAUUUUCUCAAUACUUUACAUAUAUUUUUUCAUAUUACGUACACUAUGCAAUCUUGCACUUUCAAAUUUCCUAUAAAUGCAUAAAAAUCCGCAGUGUAACAAUCACCAUGAACACCAACCCUACGCAUAGAAACGCUCAAACCAUCAAAGAAUCAAUUCCACCAUCAAACGACCACCAUUGGGACACAUCACGGAAGAAGAGGGUCUCGUUCUUACGCGCGUCUGUCCGUGGAUUCGUUAAAGAGUUCCCGGUGUUGCUGGUACCAAUAUACACGUACACAGGCACACGUACAAACACAGAUGAUGCAUUGUAUGAGUGUGUGGUGACCGUGACUGUAUCUGCGUCGGAGGAAGAGGCACAUUACGUUCAAUCUACCUCCGCUCCGCUCGACUCCUACUUCGCGUUCCGCACUCGUGAUCUGCGAUCCAAAGAGAGACAAAAACGCGGUCCAGUGACUCACACCCUCUGAUAUUCGACACGGUUUUACCACGGAACCGUCAUCGCCCACGUCGUCAUACCAAGCGUGUAUUUCCGCAUUUGAAACUUUGCUUUGAUACUCGCGAGCUUCGCUAUGGUUGAACGUAGUUUGAACCACGUAGUUGAACGUAGUAUGAUUAAUCGUGUCGUUGCAUCGAUAGUGGCACAAUUAGAAACCUGUAAGUUUUAGAGCAGAGGCUUUUUAAAAUUUACAAAGAAAUCUUGAUCGUUUCAACGGCGUUAUACGGCUGACUUAUCGCAAGAUACACCACUGGUCGUAAAAAUAGUACAACCUUGCACUUGUAGAGUUACAAAACAACCGAAGAAGAGCCAAUGCUGUUCUUAGACUAAGACCAGAUUAAUGGUAGUAGUAAUUCAUAGUCCAUAAGUAAUACUUUUGUCCUGUGACGUAAGAAUGAUGCAGUUAUAAGUAUAUUUUAUAUUUGACGUGGUAGAAGUAGAAACAUAAUCUUCUAUUCAAUAAGGGCAUAUUUGAAAUUGUUUGAGUUGGACCACUAUCGUUGCCAAGCAGAGAUAUAAACAGGUCUCGACAUUCGUACAACGAAAGUAUAAAGGAAUACAGAAAAUUGAGUGGUGAAAAAUCAACAUGGAAGACAAGCAAGUUCUCGUUCUGCACAUGCGUGACAUCCUAUGAAUGUGUCAGACAGGGACACUCUACUCAUCUCUGUCUGUCUCGCAAGGACCACAACUUUGUUGCCUUUCCUGUUGAUUUUUCGCGACUCAAUUUUUGAGACGGCUCUCCCUAGCGAGUGUCGAGACUUGUUUACAUAACCGUGGUUUGAACAUGUUUGGAGACAGUUGUUGAAAGAAUCUAAAGAUUUUAUUGUUGAGAGCUAUUGAAACUGAAUAUGAUUCGUAUUGUAGAUGGAAAGUAUUCUGUUUGCUAAAGUUUGGUGAUGUACAAAAUGUUUCAAAGUUGGGACUGUAAGAUUAAUCGUAUAGUUAAUUACAUUUAAUAGAAUAAUUUCUACAAAAUAGAGGUUGCGUGGAAAGAUGGAAUUGGUAUGCAUGUUUAAUAUCGUUGUUUAAUAUCAAAUUUUUAUAGAUGUUUAUUUAAUCGAAAUUAUUUUUAUUUUAAGAUAUUAGUUUAGGGUAUUGAUGGAAUUGAUAUUGAUGUUUGAACCUGUCGUUUUAAAUUUAUUGGACAGAUUUGAUCGACAGAAUUGACUGAUAUAAUUCAUGUAGAGAAGAGAAUGUAAGAUAAGGAUGAAACUUAUAUAAUUUGAAAUUGUUGUAAAACAUCUUGGAAACUUACAUGAACAAACUUAUCGUUUAUAUAUAUAAUUUGCUAAUAUAAUUUAUACAAAAGAAAGGUCGAUAAUGAAGAUGGAACUUGUAUGAAUAAACUUAUAACUUAAAUGUCUAAUUGACUAACAUAAUUUAUACAGGAGUUUAGAAUAGGCAUGGAAUUUCUAUUGAUGUUUCAAGUUGUUUGACGAUGUUUGUAAAAGUAAAAUUUUUCGCUAAAGUA